UUCUGUGGGCAGGCCCCGGGCUGGAACUAGAGCCAGGAUUUUUAUAUCCAACUGCCUACUGGACACCAACCACGUGGACAAGUCCUGGUUGCCUCAAACUCAACAUGUUCAAAGCUGAAUACAUCACCUGCUCUCCCAAAUAUGCUCCUCUCCUGCUGUUCCCAAAAUCAGAAAAUGGCUUCACGAUCAGCUCAGUCAUCUCAAGAGCAAAUGCUGAGAGUCACCCUUGAAUCCUUCUGUUGCCUCCACAUUCAAACCAUCACCAUAUCCUUGAUUUCUCUACUGUAUAUUUUUCAUAUGUGUCCACUUCUUUCCAUCUGCACUCUCAUUAGUGAAGGCCACCAACAUCUCUCAUCUGAAUGCCUGCAAUACCUCCUCACAGGUCACCAGGCAUCUAGUUUUGCCCCUGUCCUGCCCUUCCCUCAUCUAGAGUGAAGCCAGUAGGAACCUUCCAAAAUGAAAAUCUGAUUAAGUCACUUCUUUGCUUAAAACUUUUUUAUGGUUUCACAGCCCAUGAAAAUAGUAUCCAAUGUCUUUAAGUGCAUUGCAAAACUCUUCAAGGCCUCCCUCUCCAAUCCUUCUAGUCCUCCCUCCCCAGUUUCAUCACUCAUUAUAUACCCCAUAACCUUUAUGCCAGAGUUGUCAUGAACCUCCUCCCAUUCCUUCAGUAUUUUAUGUCUUUUUGCCUUCAGGUCUUUACACAUGUUGUUCCUUCAUAUUGAAAUAUUCUUUCCUCUCCCCAUUGCCUGGUAGAUUAACUCCUGUUUAUCCUUCAGAUGUCAGCCUUAAUGUCACUCUCUCAAGGUGAACAUCCCUGAAUUCUCUGAUGCAUUACAUAGGAUACCGUUUUUAUUCUGCCAUUGUAUGUGUCACCCUUUAUUGUUAAGAAACAUUUAAAUAAGAAAUAUUUAAUUGUUAAUAAACAGUUUUAAAUAAAAAAUAUUUAUUU
rnacentral:lncRNA from 10 species